GGUCAAGUGAAGAAGCGCAUACGGUGGAUGCCUUGGCAGUCAGAGGCGAUGAAAGACGUGGUAGCCUGCGAAAAGCUUCGGGGAGUCGGCAAACAGACUGUGAUCCGGAGAUAUCUGAAUGGGGGAACCCAGCCAUCAUAAGAUGGUUAUCUUGUACUGAAUACAUAGGUGCAAGAGGCGAACCAGGGGAACUGAAACAUCUAAGUACCCUGAGGAAAAGAAAUCAACCGAGAUUCCCUUAGUAGUGGCGAGCGAACGGGGACCAGCCCUUAAGUUGUAUUGAGAUUAGCGGAACACUCUGGAAAGGGUGGCCAUAGUGGGUGAUAGCCCUGUACGCGAAAAUCCCUUUGCAAUGAAAUCGAGUAGGACGGGGCACGAGAAACCUUGUCUGAAUAUGGGGGGACCAUCCUCCAAGGCUAAAUACUACUGACUGACCGAUAGUGAACCAGUACCGUGAGGGAAAGGCGAAAAGAACCGCGGAGAGCGGAGUGAAAUAGAUCCUGAAACCGUAUGCGUACAAGCAGUGGGAGCCCACUUUGUUGGGUGACUGCGUACCUUUUGUAUAAUGGGUCAGCGACUUAUUUUCAGUGGCGAGCUUAACCGAAUAGGGGAGGCGUAGCGAAAGCGAGUCUUAAUAGGGCGUCUAGUCGCUGGGAAUAGACCCGAAACCGGGCGAUCUAUCCAUGGGCAGGUUGAAGGUUGGGUAACACUAACUGGAGGACCGAACCGACUACCGUUGAAAAGUUAGCGGAUGACCUGUGGAUCGGAGUGAAAGGCUAAUCAAGCUCGGAGAUAGCUGGUUCUCCUCGAAAGCUAUUUAGGUAGCGCCUCAUGUAUCACUGUAGGGGGUAGAGCACUGUUUCGGCUAGGGGGUCAUCCCGACUUACCAAACCGAUGCAAACUCCGAAUACCUACAAGUGCCGAGCAUGGGAGACACACGGCGGGUGCUAACGUCCGUCGUGAAAAGGGAAACAACCCAGACCGUCAGCUAAGGUCCCAAAGUCAUGGUUAAGUGGGAAACGAUGUGGGAAGGCUUAGACAGCUAGGAGGUUGGCUUAGAAGCAGCCACCCUUUAAAGAAAGCGUAAUAGCUCACUAGUCGAGUCGGCCUGCGCGGAAGAUGUAACGGGGCUCAAACCAUGCACCGAAGCUACGGGUAUCAUCUUUUGAUGAUGCGGUAGAGGAGCGUUCUGUAAGCCUGUGAAGGUGAGUUGAGAAGCUUGCUGGAGGUAUCAGAAGUGCGAAUGCUGACAUGAGUAACGACAAUGGGUGUGAAAAACACCCACGCCGAAAGACCAAGGUUUCCUGCGCAACGUUAAUCGACGCAGGGUUAGUCGGUCCCUAAGGCGAGGCUGAAAAGCGUAGUCGAUGGAAAACAGGUUAAUAUUCCUGUACUUCUGGUUAUUGCGAUGGAGGGACGGAGAAGGCUAGGCCAGCCUGGCGUUGGUUGUCCAGGUUUAAGGUGGUAGGCUGAGAUCUUAGGUAAAUCCGGGAUCUUAAGGCCGAGAGCUGAUGACGAGUGUUCUUUUAGAACACGAAGUGGUUGAUGCCAUGCUUCCAAGAAAAGCUUCUAAGCUUCAGGUAACCAGGAACCGUACCCCAAACCGACACAGGUGGUUGGGUAGAGAAUACCAAGGCGCUUGAGAGAACUCGGGUGAAGGAACUAGGCAAAAUGGCACCGUAACUUCGGGAGAAGGUGCGCCGGUGGAGGUGAAGCAUUUACUGCGUAAGCCCCUGCCGGUCGAAGAUACCAGGCCGCUGCGACUGUUUAUUAAAAACACAGCACUCUGCAAACACGAAAGUGGACGUAUAGGGUGUGACGCCUGCCCGGUGCCGGAAGGUUAAUUGAUGGGGUUAGCGCAAGCGAAGCUCUUGAUCGAAGCCCCGGUAAACGGCGGCCGUAACUAUAACGGUCCUAAGGUAGCGAAAUUCCUUGUCGGGUAAGUUCCGACCUGCACGAAUGGCGUAACGAUGGCGGCGCUGUCUCCACCCGAGACUCAGUGAAAUUGAAAUCGCUGUGAAGAUGCAGUGUAUCCGCGGCUAGACGGAAAGACCCCGUGAACCUUUACUAUAGCUUUGCACUGGACUUUGAAUUUGCUUGUGUAGGAUAGGUGGGAGGCUUUGAAGCGUGGACGCCAGUCUGCGUGGAGCCAACCUUGAAAUACCACCCUGGCAACUUUGAGGUUCUAACUCAGGUCCGUUAUCCGGAUCGAGGACAGUGUAUGGUGGGUAGUUUGACUGGGGCGGUCUCCUCCUAAAGAGUAACGGAGGAGUACGAAGGUGCGCUCAGACCGGUCGGAAAUCGGUCGUAGAGUAUAAAGGCAAAAGCGCGCUUGACUGCGAGACAGACACGUCGAGCAGGUACGAAAGUAGGUCUUAGUGAUCCGGUGGUUCUGUAUGGAAGGGCCAUCGCUCAACGGAUAAAAGGUACUCCGGGGAUAACAGGCUGAUACCGCCCAAGAGUUCAUAUCGACGGCGGUGUUUGGCACCUCGAUGUCGGCUCAUCACAUCCUGGGGCUGAAGCCGGUCCCAAGGGUAUGGCUGUUCGCCAUUUAAAGUGGUACGCGAGCUGGGUUUAGAACGUCGUGAGACAGUUCGGUCCCUAUCUGCCGUGGACGUUUGAGAUUUGAGAGGGGCUGCUCCUAGUACGAGAGGACCGGAGUGGACGAACCUCUGGUGUUCCGGUUGUCACGCCAGUGGCAUUGCCGGGUAGCUAUGUUCGGAAAAGAUAACCGCUGAAAGCAUCUAAGCGGGAAACUUGCCUCAAGAUGAGAUCUCACUGGAACCUUGAGUUCCCUAAAGGGCCGUCGAAGACUACGACGUUGAUAGGUUGGGUGUGUAAGCGCUGUGAGGCGUUGAGCUAACCAAUACUAAUUGCCCGUGAGGCUUGACCAU
rnacentral:rRNA from 1 species